CUGCUGCCUCCCGUAGGAGUCUGAGCCGUAUCUCAGUCCCAAUGUGGCCGGCCAACCUCUCAGUCCGGCUACUGAUCGUCGCCUUGGUAGGCCGUUACCCUACCAACUAGCUAAUCAGACGCGAGGCCAUCUCUCAGCGAUAAAUCUUUGGCAUCUGUACCAUGCGAUACCUAUGCAUUAUGCGGUAUUAGCAGUCGUUUCCAACUGUUGUCCCCCCUCUGAAAGGCAGGUUCCUCACG
rnacentral:rRNA from 1 species